rnacentral:rRNA from 1 species
UAGAGUUUGGAUCAUGGCUCAGAUUGAACGCUGGCGGCAGGCCUAACACAUGCAAGUCGAGCGGAAACGAUGGAAGCUUGCUUCCAGGCGUCGAGCGGCGGACGGGUGAGUAAUGCAUGGGAAUCUGCCCGAUAGUGGGGGAUAACCUGGGGAAACCCAGGCUAAUACCGCAUACGUCCUACGGGAGAAAGCAGGGGAUCUUCGGACCUUGCGCUAUCGGAUGAGCCCAUGUCGGAUUAGCUUGUUGGUGAGGUAAUGGCUCACCAAGGCGACGAUCCGUAGCUGGUCUGAGAGGAUGAUCAGCCACAUCGGGACUGAGACACGGCCCGAACUCCUACGGGAGGCAGCAGUGGGGAAUAUUGGACAAUGGGCGAAAGCCUGAUCCAGCCAUGCCGCGUGUGUGAAGAAGGCCCUCGGGUUGUAAAGCACUUUCAGUGGGGAAGAAAGCCUUGGGAUUAAUACUCCCGAGGAAGGACAUCACCCACAGAAGAAGCACCGGCUAACUCCGUGCCAGCAGCCGCGUAUUCGAC